UGAUUGCAUGAAGGUUCAGUGUCCU
rnacentral:piRNA from 1 species